rnacentral:tRNA from 1 species
CACUGCGAAGCUAACUAGCAUUAACCUUUUAAGUUAAAGACUGAAAGUCCUGAACCUUUCCACAGUGA